rnacentral:rRNA from 1 species
UACGUAGGUGGCGAGCGUUGUCCGGAUUUAUUGGGCGUAAAGCGCGCGCAGGCGGUGCGGUAAGUCCGUCGUGAAAUCUCCCGGCUCAACUGGGAGGGUGCGGUGGAGACUGCCGGACUGGAGGCACUCAGAGGCCGGUGGAAUUCCCGGUGUAGUGGUGAAAUGCGUAGAGAUCGGGAGGAACACCAGUGGCGAAGGCGGCCGGCUGGGGGUGACCUGACGCUGAGGCGCGAAGGUCAGGGGAGCAAACGGG